GGAAGAGCCGGGGGCAGCCGUGACGGGGGGAGGCCGCGCUGCCCCUUCCCUCCCCCGUCCUCCCGAGGGCCAGGGGCGCACCCCGGGGCGGGGAGAGGACGAGGCCGGGCUCCCCGGGGAGAGGCAGCGAGAGAAGGGCCCGCGGAGCCCCAGCACGGAGCGGGGACCCCGCCCCGCUGCCCGGCUGAGGAGGAGGAGGAAGAGGAGGCCGGCGGGGAGCGAGGCGCCGAGGAGGCCCCGGCCUCCCCCCCCAACACACACACACACCCCCCCGUGCCUCGGCCCCUCCCCGGAGCCGCCGCCCCGCGGGCCGGGUGCUCGGGCGGCCCCGUGAGGAGCCGGGGGAGGAGGCGGCGGAGGGAGCCGGAGCCCCUCAGGCCCGCCGGGAGGCCCCCCGGGAGCUCGGCCCCAGCCGGCCGGCCGCGGGGAGCCGCGGUUACCGUGUGCGGGGCCCAAUUCUCGUGGUGUUUGUCGGGCGGCUGCGAUAAUGGCGUCCUUCCUCGCGAGACGGCUCCGGCUCCGCAGCGCGCAGGCUCCAACGCGCCGAGCCCGCUCGGCCCCCGCCCGCCCCGGCCGUCCGCGCCUGCGUGCCGACGGACGGGGCUCGCAGCCGCCCCUCCGCCGCCGCGCCCGCCGGGACGGACUACAAGUCCCAGGGGGCAGAGCGGCCGCUCCUCGCUGCCGGCCCCGCCGGGCAGGCCGGGAGCUGUAGUACACGGGGGUGGGGCGGUGCCUUCUGGGAAUUGGAGUCCGCAAGCGGCAGACCCGCAAGGCACACGGGCACACUUCACACGCCUUACUCGCGCCUUACUCACACCUUACUCACACCUUACACGCACCUUACACACUUCACAUCUCACAUACCACAUACCCCUCACACUCCACAUACCCCUCACGCACCACAUACCCCUCACACUCCUCACACACCAUAUACCCCCCACACACCUCACACCCCACGCAUCAUAUACCCCUCAUGCUCCUCACACACCUCACACACCUCACGCCCCUCACACCCCUAACGCACCUCACGCACCUCGCACCUCACACACCAUAUACCCCUCACACUCCUCGCACACCUCACGCACCUCACACACACACACACCCCACAUGACGCCCUCCUUCUCUUCCCCGAGUGUCCUGCUCUCCGGACACGCUCCCAGCCCUGACACAGCCCCGAGGGCUCCCCAAGCCCUCCUGCUCUGA
rnacentral:lncRNA from 1 species